CAUAAAUUUCAUGUGUGGAGAAGAACCCCUUAGCCAUUCCAUCACCCAUUGAUUCAUCACAUUUAGUUCACAAUCUGUUUUAAUUUACAAUCUGUGCAUUUAGUUCAAAUUCGUCCAAACACAAUUCCCCCAUAUUUUGUUAAGUUUGAGUCUUCAUAAUCUGUCCUCUUUGGUGUUUUAAGUAUUUUGAGUCAUAAGUUUUGUCAAAUUCGUCCAAAUCUUGUCUUAGUUGCUGUUUGAGUCAAUUCAUUUGUUUUAGUCAGUUUUGGGCAGAUUUGAGUGUUUCAAAUCUGUUUUGAAUCUUAGUAGUCUAAUUAGA
rnacentral:lncRNA from 1 species